rnacentral:rRNA from 1 species
AUAGAGAGUCGGACCUGCCCGGUGAUAAUUUUUAACGGCCGCGGUACCCUGACCGUGCAAAGGUAGCAUAAUCAUUUGCCUUGUAAUUUAAGGCUAGUAUGAAAGGUUUGACAAGAAUAUAACUGUCUCCUUUUGGUUAAAUAGAAUUUUACCUAUAAGUGAAGAGACUUAUAUAGAAUUAAUAGACAAGAAGACCCUAUCGAGCUUUAAAGUAAUUAAUAGAGAUAUAUGAAAAUAGACGAAUAAAAUCAAAUCUAUUAAAAAUUUUGGUUGGGGCGACUAAGGAACAACUAAAGCUUCCUGUAUAAACUAAACAUUCAAGUGAUGAUCCAGAAAGUUCUGAUUAAAGGAAUUAGUUACCGUAGGGAUAACAGCAUUAUCUUUUUUGAGAGCUCUUAUCGAAAAAAAGGUUUGUGACCUCGAUGUUGGACCAGAAUGUCCUAAAGAUGCAGCAGUCUUUAAGGGUUGGUCUGUUCGACCAUUAAAAUUCUA